UUUGAGUCCAGCACUGUUGAAACAGUAGGGACAAUUGCUAUGGGGAGUUUGAGGCAUGAAAUAAAUACCCUUAUGUUAUAGGUUGUUCAAUAAUCGUAUUUUUACCACUUUGAUCCUUGGAUAUUUCUUUGGAAGCUUUGGUAAUCCAGGUAGACUUGUGCACAAGUCUUGUAUUCUAUCUACUGCCAAAUGCUGAGUUAUAUAUGGUUACGAGAAGUUUGAUGUGUGAGAGUAGGGACCUGACCGUCUUUCAUUGUCUCACCCAUUAAACAUUUUAACUGAUAGUGCUUUUCACCUUCCUCCAGCCUUGUCUUUUUAUUCUGAUGGAUCCAAGUGGGGCAUUUGUGGGUUGGGGGUGUAAAAUAAUAUAAAAUUAUAAGAUUUUGUACUCCCAAAAUAUUUUUAAUCUAGAAAACUUUAAAGAGUACAACUUGAUAUGUGGUUUAUCGAUAUAAGACAAUAAUUAAGCCGCUUGUGUUGUACUUUUAUUUACUCUGAGAUUUUAUCCGUAGUAAGACUUUAAAC
rnacentral:lncRNA from 1 species